ACGUUACCAAUGGUAGGAUACUACGUCAUCGCGCACCUGCUAAAUGCUCCCACUUGGACCAUUUUUUCGUCGACUCAAAGAAAGUAUUUGUAUUUGUGACCAGUAUGGGAAAAGGUAUAAACCACAUUGCGACGUAAGGAAGCACAUGGCAGGACAUCUUGGCACGGCAAAGCUGGAGCAAAUAUUUUAGAUACCAACUGUGGAUAUAUCUCAUUGAGGAGGAAUACUCUAGAAAACACAAGAAUAAUAGUUCUUUGAAGUAAUUGUCAUCUGAAAUUUCACUGGAGGAUAGAUUUCAAUAAAGUAAAAUACCGCAAACAAGAAUGACAACUCUCCAGUUUUAGAGUUAGUGCUCUUUGUAUUCACUAUCAUUAGUUUGCAAGGACCAUACCUCUAAAGGUAUUUGAGAUAUAAACUUAAAACUUUAUAUUGAACAUGUUUAAUAGAAGUGAAUAGCAGAACAUAAGGACCAGAAGUGUUCACUUAAUGCUUCUUUGUUGUUUUUCUUUGUUUUUUUUUUCAUGGGAGUGUUAUUUUUGUCAUGAUUUAUUAUGUCUAGGCUAUAACUUUUCAUUAAUUUUCACGAGUAUCAUUACUUGGAAUUUUUUUUCACGUAUGUAAGGGUUACUUCCCCUUUAAAAUGUUCUUCCUCCUUAUGGCGGGGGAUUUUGCUGUCUGUGAUUCCUUCUUGUAUUAUUGCUAUUAUUUUAACGUCAUUCAAAUAUCCUGAAAUCAUUUUUCUAUGAUUUUAUUCAUAGAUAUAAUGCUCAAAUGAAGAUUUAUCAAUAUUGUAUGUUCCGAAAAGCAUUAUUUGUAAAGAUAAUACCGAAUUUACAUUUCAUAAAGGGAGGUAAUUAGAAAUAUAUUUUCUAUUAAGUGUAAGUUGAAUCUUUCAAAAAGAAA